rnacentral:rRNA from 1 species
GAUGAACGCUGGCGGCGUGCCUAAUACAUGCAAGUCGAGCGAACAGACGAGGAGCUUGCUCCUCUGACGUUAGCGGCGGACGGGUGAGUAACACGUGGAUAACCUACCUAUAAGACUGGGAUAACUUCGGGAAACCGGAGCUAAUACCGGAUAAUAUAUUGAACCGCAUGGUUCAAUAGUGAAAGACGGUUUUGCUGUCACUUAUAGAUGGAUCCGCGCCGCAUUAGCUAGUUGGUAAGGUAACGGCUUACCAAGGCAACGAUGCGUAGCCGACCUGAGAGGUGGAUCGGCCACCCUGGAACUGAGCCACGGUCCAGACUCCUACGGGAGGCAGCAGUAGGGAAUCUUCCGCAAUGGGCGAAAGCUUGACGGAGCAACGCCGCGUGAGUGAUGAAGGUCUUCGGAUCGUAAAACUCUGUUAUUAGGGAAGAACAAAUGUGUAAGUAACUAUGCACGUAUUGACGGUACCGAAUCAGAAAGCCACGGCUAACUACGUG